AGGGAAACAGCCACAUCAGUUCACCAUGGCUGCUCUUCCAUGGUCCAAAACCUAAGUGCUCCAGGCCUGGUGGGCAAGCAGACGUCUGGACAGACCACACCACAUAGCAGGAAAGGAGAUGGCUUCUCCAGCUCUGCUCUCAUACCAGAGCCUGACAUAUAGGAAGUGCUCAGCAAACAUUUGCCCUAUGAAGAGAUGAAUGAACAGGGCAACUUGGCAGUACUUGUAAAGGUGACGAUGAGCACGCACACGCAGAUCCAGCAAAACCCCAGAGAAAUGCUAACACACGUGUCCAUUGGGAGACACAUAUAAGGGUGUUCACAGCAGCACUCUUCCUUUUCUUCAAUUAUGCAAAGCUACCCACAGGUUCAUAAUCAGGAGACCGGAUGAAUAAGUCAUAAUGUAUUUAUACAAUGGAAUACCAUUACAGCAGUGAAAAUGAAUAAACUCCAGCUACAUGUGUUAACUUGGACACAUCUGAAACAUCCAUAUUAUUUCUGCAGCUGAAUGAUGGUGAAAGGGAGCUGUUGCAUCAAUCUUGAAACCUUCAUGUGUGUCUGAAAUAUUUCAUAAUGAAAAUAAAUGAAAAGAAGAAACGGAUGAAUGAAUGAAUGAAUGAAUGCUGCUUCCUCUCAACCAGAGAGCUGAUUCUCCUGCCUUUUCUUUGUUUUAUGUGUAUGUAUCUCUCUGAGACUUAAGAGCACUUUGGAGUCAGCCUAACCUGAACUGGAACCCUGGCUCUGCCCCUUGAUGCUUUGUGACCUGGUGACCCUGGUACCUCUCUACCCACUUCACAGAUGAGUGUGAGCAUUCACUGAGAUCAUGGCGUGUCUUGAAGUUUAUCUAGCCCAGUUCCCCAUUUCACAGAUGGCAAAAGUGAGGUACAAAUGGAAACUUCAGCUCCUUCCCUAGGAGCUAAAAAGAUAUUUGCUCCUUACCCCACAACACCCUGACAGGACCAGGGAAGAAGGUUGCCCAGAUGGUGAUCUG
rnacentral:lncRNA from 1 species